AAUAUGUUAUAUGUCUCAUAUACUGUAUUCUUAACAUGCCAGAGAAAAGAAAAAGACAAUCAUAAGGAAAAUAUAUUUACUAGUUAUUAAAUGGAAGUAGAUGAUCCAACAGGUCUUCAUCCUCAUCCUUUUCAUGGGCAGGGUGUGGAGAAGGAUGUAGAAUUGUUGGUUUUUCUAAGUGGACGUGCACAGUUCAAACCCCUGUGGUGCAAAGGCCAACUGUAUAGCCAUUGAAUAGCAAUUUAUUUUUAGAAAUUAAUCCCACUAAAAUACUCUUAGAAGGAUGCCAAGAAAAAAUAUGAAUAAGUAUUUUUGGUUCAUCUAUUUCAUCAUUUCAUUUCCUCAUUUCACUUCCUUUCAUUUCAUUUCAUCCUUUCAUCAUUUCAUUAUUUCAUCUCAACAUUUCAUUUCAUUAUUUCACUUCAUUUCAUUAUUUCAUCUCAACAUUUCAUCAUUUCACUUCAUCUCAUCAUUUCAUCAUUUCAUCUCAUGAUUUCAUCUCCUCAUUUCAUCUUUUCAUCUCAUUUCAUCUUUUCAUCUCAUUUCAUUUCAUAUUUCAGCAAUUCAUCAUUUCAUUUCAUUUAUUUCAUCAUUUCAUCAUUUAUUUCAUAAUUUCAUCAUUUGACUUCAUUUCAUUUCAAUUCAUAUUUCAUCAUUUCAUUUUUUCAUUUCACUUCAUCAUUUCAUUUCAUCAUUUCAUCAUUUCAUCUCAUCGUUUGCAUUUCAUCAUUUCAUUUCAUCUCAUGAUUUCAUCUCAUCAUUUCAUCUUUUCAUCUUAUUUCAUCUCGUCAUUUCAUUUGAUCAUUUCAUCUAUUCACCAUUUCAUCAUUUCAUUAUUUCAUCAUUUAAUCAUUUCACUUCAUCAUUUGAUUUCAUCAUUUCAUGUCAUUUCUUCAUCAUUU
rnacentral:lncRNA from 1 species